CUGAGAGUGUGCUCAUGCUACAGUUCAUGAUUUAAAUGCUUGGCUUCACUUGGUCUGAGAUCAAGCAAAUUGAGGAAAUUUGUUUAAAAUUCUUUACCUUCAAAUUCCAGUGUUUCAACUGAUGCAAUUCCUGAUGUAUUUAAGACCUGAAUUUCCCUCUGGUUUGUGAUGUUGGAGCCACUCUGGGUGCAGUGCUGUAAUGUUGGAUACUGCUGGUAAAUAAUGGAUUUAUUGCGGUCCAAAGCCUUUUCCUGAGGGUUUUUGGAGAAAAUAAUUCAUGGCAAUGUGAAUGAAUGUUCAAACCCACCAGCUACUAGGACUAAGGGAUAAUCAUUCCCACAGAUGAUUCCCACACUAAAGCUCUUUCCAAAUUUGUGUGAUAAAAUCAAUUUUUGCCUUGCUGGGGACAAGAACUUUGCUGGACAAGUGCUGCUUUUCAUUCCUUUCCCAUUUCUGAAGUAACUUUCCUUACAGAGUGACGUUGCCAAAGAAAGGAAAAUAAAAUCUUUCCCUUCUAUGAACUGCCUGAAGAGGUCCUAAAAAUAGCCCAUAAUAACCCUUGGGGAGGGUUUUGCCAUGAAUUUCAGGGAGACCUGGACUUGGUGGUGUUGGCCAGCCCCUGAAGCUGAGGUGUUCCUGUGCCAGCUGCCUCUUGUUCUUUUUCCCAGAACAGGCACUUCCAUAAAGUGUUUGCCACUUACUAAUAUGGAAUAGGUCCUGCAGUGAGCUCUCCACAUUACAGAGUGGCUGCCACUUAAAAACAAAUGCUUCCCCAAAACUUUUGCUGGGGGUUAUUUUUAGUUGUUUGAGAUUGAUGAUUACCCUAAAAAAAAAAAAAUCCCAACAAAAACAAACCCAUCACAUUUUCACAUUUCAAUGUUCCAUGAGGGAAAACUGCAGUCUUUGAAGUAACAGAUGUUUUUGGUGGUUUAUUUACCAUUAACUACUAAUGAUACAGCUGGUAUGUGCAUGCAAUUAAUUAAUUUUAACCAAAGGAACUUUCUAGAAGAUAAUUUUCCCUUGGGAGAGGUGGGAUUUAUGCUUAGGUCCCAGUAGAGUGAAGUGUGUGUCCCAUGGCUGAGCUUGCCCAUGGUCAUGAGGUCAAUUAACAGGAUCACAGGACCCUGGGGGCUGCAGCAGGAGAUUUCCCCUCUGGAAGAAACAAGAGGCUGCCAAUGUCCUGAUUGAUUUGCUUUGUGAAAUCCUAUUCAAGUGGGAAUUUAUGUGGAUACUUCACAUACAUGGGUGUUAUGGUUGGAAUGGGUCAAAAAUACAGCAACGUAGGGGAUGAAGCACAGAGCAAAAGAGGCAUCCUGACACUGGAACAUCCCACUGAGUGUGGAAUCAUCAUUAACUGGGAUGAUUGGGAAAGGCUUGGUAUCAGAAAUGCCUUAUCCAUUUUGAGUGGAAAACAUGGAUUUCAUGUUACAUGGCAUUGGAUUUGGAAAAUGAAACAGCAACUGCUGCCUCCUCCUCCUCUCUUGAAAAGGGCAUGGAGCUUCCUGAUGGACAGGGGAAGGAAUUCACCAUUGGCAAUGGAUGGUGCUGAUGCCCAGGAGUAUUUUGCCUGUAUAAUUACCAUGCUGAGGUUCCAGAGGAGGAUGUGAUAUUGACUUCCAUGAGGAUCUCUGUGGGAAAAAUGUCCUCUCUGGAGGAACCACCAUGUGUAUCCUGGGAUUUGGGAUCAUAUACAGAAGGAGAGGAUAGUUUACCUCCAAGUACAAUGAAGAUUAAGGUGAUUUUUUAACAUUUUUAUUGCUGCCAGUUCCAUCUUAAGGUGAUUUUUCCUUAUUCAAAUGGUCUCUUAAUGGAAAAAUCUGCAAAAUCUGUCAAAAAGGGGUUUUUCAAAGCUCUGCUCUAGCUACCUAAAAGUGAGAGAGGUUGCUCUUACCUUCAUUCCCACUUUUGAACAGCAGUCAGCUCAAAUUCCUGGUAUCCAUGUCUUCUCAAGCAAAUGGAAAUCAUCUUUUCCUCGGCCUCUGAGUGAAUUUUACUUUAUUAUUCUUGUUUCAGUUUGUAUGGCUGCUCAGGUUGUUGAUAAGUUACCUUACAUGUAGGAAUAGCACUAUUAGCUGGCCUUAUCACCUGCCUGAGUAUCAUUAGUUACAUUGCAGUCUUGACUUCUUGUAGGUGUGGUGGUCAGGAGCACCAACCCUGGUCCUCAGGUCCCUGCAAUCAAGUUACAUUUGCAGUCCCCACAGGAUCAAAGCAAAAUUCCAUUCCAUUUGCCAAGAAUUUACUUGCCCUUUUUUCAGUAUUAAUGGUGAAGGAUGUUCUUUAGGUUUUCAAAUUUUAAUUUGUGUUUUAUACUAACUAUUUUGUUACUUCCACAGUUGCUUCUUUUUAAUUUGGCAAUGAAUUUCCAUUAAUUCUCAGAAUUGCUUUAACAAGGAAAAUUUGUCAUCAUCAUUUGAAUGUUAUUCUUUCUAAAUGGAAGAAAAAUCUAGCCAAUACAAGAAUGCAUUUCCACUCACACAUUUUUUUCCUAAGGGGAAACACCUUCUUUUCUUAGGAGCAAAUUGUAGAUGAAAGCAUGCAUCCACAUGAAAGUUACCUUACAUAUAAACCAGCCCAGGUGCAAUGGCUUCUGUGGAUGAAAUUUAUUAAAUCCACUGAGAUUUUAAAUGGGAGCUUUGGAAGUGAUUGCUGAGCCUUCAGCCUCCUCUAACUCUGCAAUUCAGUUCUGCAUUUCCCAUCGGGGAUGUUUUCCUGGUAAGUGAUAAAAGAUCUGAGGGAGACACUUGUCAUCAGUUAUGUCAAAUGUCUUGAUGUUCACUCAUAAAAUAGAGAGAGCAGUUUUUAAGGUUUCUUUUGGGGAGGUUUGCCUCCAUUUUUGCUUCCAAGUUAAAUGUUCCAUCUGUGGUGAAAUUUUCUUGGAGUUGGUGAACUCUCUACUGGGACUUUGCUGACAUUUUAAGAUCUCUAGAUACAAGAAAAUAUGUUUUUUAAAAAAGCUUUGUGUUUUUGAGACACAAAAUGGAAAUGGAAAAUCCUGAAACUAAUCAUUAACCAUUCAUUAAAAUGGUUGUUAGUCAUGUUAAUUGGGGCUUCAAAGAAGAAAUGACAUUUGCUUUACUUCAUGUGUAGAGAAUAGGGAAGGAAGAGGGAAAAAUAUAUAGUGGUGAAAGCAAAUCACCUUGGUGGAAAACUUCUUGAGGUCACUGAGGACACCAUGCUUGGGAUAAACUGACCCCUUUUUCAUUCUGGCAAACUUUUAAUGAAAGAGGAAAAGGGCCUGGUGAUCUUUUGCUGCAGAGGUUAAUAAUGGAUGAUCCUGAUGAGCAUUUCAUGUAAAAAGCAAAGCCUGCAGAUCUCAUUACCUGGGCCUCCCGAUUGUGCAUUCCCAUCCAACUAGAGGAGUGGAAAAUACACCUGAGACAAUUAAAAAAGGUUAUAGUGGGCAGCAUUCACAUUUUGAGUCCACUCCCAGUGCUCUUCCCUUCUUAAUAGGGAUAGAAGAGGCCCCUGAGGUCAUCCAGGCUGUCUGCCCUCACUGCUGGCUGAGACACGGGGCUGGCUGCAC